AUUGAACGCUGGCGGCAGGCCUAACACAUGCAAGUCGAGCGGAGCGGCGGACGGGUGAGUAAUACCUAGGAAUAUGCCUGGUAGUGGGGGAUAACGACAGGAAAUGGGCGCUAAUACCGCAUACUAUCACAUGAGCCUAGGUCGUAUUACUAGUUGGUGGGGUAAUGGCUUACCUAGGCGACGAUCCCUAGCUGGUCUGAGAGGAUGAUCAGCCACACUGGGACUGAGACACGGCCCAGACUCCUACGGGAGGCAGCAGUGGGGAAUAUUGCACAAUGGGCGCAAGCCUGAUGCAGCCAUGCCGCGUGUAUGAAGAAGGCCCUAGGGUUGUAAAGUACUUUCAGUCGGGAGGCGUUACCGACAGAAGAAGCACCGGCUAACUCCGGCCAGCAGCCGCGGUAAUUC
rnacentral:rRNA from 1 species